AAGUGUUACAACUCUUUUAGAAUUUGUCUAGCAGGUUUUUUGACUUCGGUCGGAUACUCCUCC
ensembl:snRNA U7 U7 small nuclear RNA